rnacentral:RNase_P_RNA from 3 species
AAAACUAAAGACACUAACUGGUUUUGUGAGGAAAGUCCGCCCACCAAUAAAAAAGAUUGCUCUAGGAAUAGAGUUUCAGUAAUGGAAGGAGACUGUUUAGAAACGACACGACCUUUAUUUAGUAAUGAAGCUGAGAAGGUUCUGGCGACAGGACUGAGAUAACCAGCUGAACGUUUGAGGUAAAGGAAACGAUUAAACGAGCAGACCCGAUCGGUGCAAGCAGAAAUGAAUAUACAAAAGCUGUAAAAAGCCAUAAGUUGUUUGUUACAUGCGCUUAGUAGAAUAUUAAGACAAAACAUCGCAGGAGAUUAAAGCUUCAAAAAGCAUCAUUUCCUGUUUGGUUUUGACAAAAGGCGGCUUAUUCUUUACCUAU